rnacentral:rRNA from 1 species
ACUCCUACGGGAGGCAGCAGUGGGGAAUAUUGCACAAUGGGCGAAAGCCUGAUGCAGCAACGCCGCGUGAGUGAUGACGGUCUUCGGAUUGUAAAGCUCUGUCUUUGGGGACGAUAAUGACGGUACCCAAGGAGGAAGCCACGGCUAACUACGUGCCAGCAGCCGCGGUAAU